AGGGAAACAGAUGCACUUCUGAGUGUAGUACUUGAUUCUGUCACUCACUAUUUGUCUCCAGUUUGUAUCUCAGUAGAGGUGGGUUGUAAGGUGAAAUCCAGAACAGAGCAUGUGGUGGCAGUCUCCAGGUCACUGGAGAGACAGCCCAGGCCGGCAGUAUUAGUGGUAUUGAGAUAAAUUGGCGAAAGUGAUGGUGUCUGGUGAUGCAGUAGCUCCCAGAAGAUGUCCUAGCCCUGUGUCCUGCGGAAGCAAACACCCAACACAGGGAACUGGCAUGCAGAAGGAUAAAAAGAACCAACCAAACUCAUUCACGGGGUGAGUUCCACGUUGCCAAGCCCGUGAGAAUAGGCCCAAGUGCCAUAGUCUGUUGGCCAAAACUUGAACACCGUGAAGAAGACAAAGAAAUGUACCCCAGGAAAUUCUUU
rnacentral:lncRNA from 1 species